AGAUUAAACUGAAGAGUUUGAUCCUGGCUCAGAUUGAACGCUGGCGGCAUGCCUUACACAUGCAAGUCGAACGGCAGCGCGGGGCAACCUGGCGGCGAGUGGCGAACGGGUGAGUAAU
rnacentral:rRNA from 1 species